rnacentral:rRNA from 1 species
UCUGGUUGAUCCUGCCAGUAGUCAUAUGCUUGUCUCAAAGAUUAAGCCAUGCAUGUCUAAGUUCACACCCUUGUACGGUGAAACCGCGAAUGGCUCAUUAAAUCAGUCGAGGUUCCUUAGAUGAUCCAAAUUUACUUGGAUAACUGUGGUAAUUCUAGAGCUAAUACAUGCUGACCAGCUCCGACCCCUCCGGGAAAGAGCGCUUUUAUUAGUUCAAAACCAGUCGGGUUCUGCCCGUCCUUUGGUGACUCUGGAUAACUUUGUGCCGAUCGCAUGGCCUCGAGCCGGCGACGCAUCUUUCAAAUGUCUGCCCUAUCAAAUGACGAUGGUACGUGAUCUGCCUACCAUGUUAGCAACGGGUAGCGGGGAAUCAGGGUUCGAUUCCGGAGAGGGAGCAUGAGAAACGGCUACCACAUCCAAGGAAGGCAGCAGGCGCGCAACUUACCCACUCCUGGCACGGGGAGGUAGUGACGAAAAAUAACAAUACGGAACUCUUUUGAGGCUCCGUAAUUGGAAUGAGUACACUUUAAACCCUUUAACGAGGAUCUAUUGGAGGGCAAGUCUGGUGCCAGCAGCCGCGGUAAUUCCAGCUCCAAUAGCGUAUACUAAAGUUGUUGCGAUUAAAAAGCUCGUAGUUGGAUCUCAGGCAUGGGCGCGCGGUCCGCCUCACGGCGGUCACUGCGUGUUUUCUUUCCCAUCCUACGCUUCCCGGUUGUUCAGCCCAUGGUGCUCUUCGCUGAGCGUUUUGGGUGGCCGGAACGUUUACUUUGAAGAAAUUAGAGUGUUCAAAGCAGGCAUGUUGCCUGAAUAAUGGUGCAUGGAAUAAUGGAAUAGGACCUCGGUUCUAUUUUGCUGGUUUUCGGAACACGAGGUAAUGAUUAAGAGGGACAGACGGGGGCAUCCGUAUUGCGGUGUUAGAGGUGAAAUUCUUGGAUCAUCGCAAGACGAACAACUGCGAAAGCAUUUGCCAAGCAUGUUUUCAUUAGUCAAGAACGAAAGUCAGAGGUUCGAAGACGAUCAGAUACCGUCGUAGUUCUGACCAUAAACGAUGCCAACUAGCGAUUCGCUGGUGUUGCUUCAUCGACUCUGCGGGCAGCUUCCGGGAAACCAAAGUUUUCGGGUUCCGGGGGAAGUAUGGUUGCAAAGCUGAAACUUAAAGGAAUUGACGGAAGGGCACCACCAGGAGUGGAGCCUGCGGCUUAAUUUGACUCAACACGGGAAAACUCACCCGGUCCGGACACUGUAAGGAUUGACAGAUUGAUAGCUCUUUCUUGAUUCGGUGGGUGGUGGUGCAUGGCCGUUCUUAGUUGGUGGAGCGAUUUGUCUGGUUAAUUCCGAUAACGAACGAGGCAAACCAACCACAAAAAACUAACUUUUUCUUUUUCCCCUCUUUUUUCCCUUUUUUUCCUUUAGUUGUUGAGUACUCUUGUCUGUUAAAUUCCAUAACGAACGAGACCUCAGCCGUUAAUUAGGAGGGUUUUAUUUUGCAAGUUACACCUUCUUAACGGACCACUGGUGUUCAACAGGGGAAGCGAGGCAAUAACCUGUGUGAGCCCUUCGUGUUCUGGGGCCGCGCGUACACUGAUUAAGUCACAAGUUUACAAACUGGCUGAACGUUGUUAUCUUUCGAAACUUCUCGUGCUGGGGAUAGAUCUGAAAUUGUUCCCCAUGAACGAGGAAUUCCCAGUAAGCGCGAGUCAUAAGCUCGCGUUGAUUACGUCCCUGCCCUUUGUACACACCGCCCGUCGCUACUACCGAUUGAACGGUUUAGUGAGGGCCUCGGAUUGGUCUCGGCCCGCCUCUCGAUGCGGGAAGUUGGUUAAAUCUUAUCAUCUGAGGAAGGAGACGUGUAACAAGGUUUCCGUAGGUGAACCUGCGGAAG